GCCGGAUCUGCCUCCUGCUCUUCCCAGAGCUGCUCUGUGUGCCUGCAGGGAGGGGGCUGAGGCUUUCCUGUCCCCGGGUGUUCCUCCAGGCAAAGUGCCAGAGGAAGAGGAGCAGCAUGGAGAGACUUCCAAAGAUAUGAGACAUGAGGCACAGUGACAGAAUCAUGAAAUGUUGUGAGCACCAUAAGCAAAGCAGGAUGGCCAUGGCUGAAGUCUCAGUGAAUUUCUCAUGUGUGGGACUCCUGUGUUACUGCAGCCCUGGAAAAUCCCCUUCUGCCAGUGUGCAUCCUUUCUACAUCACCACAGACUGCCCAGCAUGUUCCCCAGACCUCCAUCUAUUGAGAUGACCUGGCACAGCUAAAAGCCCUUAGCACACAAAAGCCGAGCCUUGGGAUCUGCGCUCCUUCAAAGAAUGCAAUACAUUAAGAGAAACCAGGAAUGUGCGCUAGGCCUGGGGAUGCUGCUUUGAAGAAAGAUUUCCUUCAAAACAGAGAUUCAAUUCACAGCAAGGGAGGCACCCUGGA
rnacentral:lncRNA from 1 species